CUACGGGAGGCAGCAGUGGGGAAUUUUGGACAAUGGGGGCAACCCUGAUCCAGCCAUCCCGCGUGUGCGAUGAAGGCCUUCGGGUUGUAAAGCACUUUUGGCAGGGAAGAAAGGGCGCUGGUUAAUAGCUGGCGUUGAUGACGGUACCUGCAGAAUAAGCACCGGCUAACUACGUGCCAGCAGCCGCGGUAAUACGUAGGGUGCAAGCGUUAAUCGGAAUUACUGGGCGUAAAGGGUGCGUCGGCGGUUUGGCAAGAAAGGUGUGAAAUCCCAGGGCUUAACCUUGGAACUGCACUUUUAACUGCCAGGCUAGAGUACGUCAGAGGGGGGUAGAAUUCCACGUGUAGCAGUGAAAUGCGUAGAGAUGUGGAGGAAUACCGAUGGCGAAGGCAGCCCCCUGGGAUGAUACUGACGCUCAGGCACGAAAGCGUGGGGAGCAAACAGGAUUAGAUACCCUGGUAGUCCACGCCCUAAACGAUGUCAACUAGCUGUUGUGGCCGUUAGGCUUUAUUAGCGCAGCUAACGCGUGAAGUUGACCGCCUGGGGAGUAC
rnacentral:rRNA from 2 species